AGUGAACGCUGGCGGUAGGCCUAACACAUGCAAGUCGAACGGCAGCACAGUAAGAGCUUGCUCUUACGGGUGGCGAGUGGCGGACGGGUGAGGAAUACAUCGGAAUCUACUUUUUCGUGGGGGAUAACGUAGGGAAACUUACGCUAAUACCGCAUACGACCUACGGGUAAAAGCAGGGGAUCUUCGGACCUUGCGCGAUUGAAUGAGCCGAUGUCGGAUUAGCUAGUUGGCGGGGUAAAGGCACACCAAGGCGACGAUCCGUAGCUGGUCUGAGAGGAUGAUCAGCCACACUGGAACUGAGACACGGUCCAGACUCCUACGGGAGGCAGCAGUGGGGAAUAUUGGACAAUGGGCGCAAGCCUGAUCCAGCCAUACCGCGUGGGUGAAGAAGGCCUUCGGGUUGUAAAGCCCUUUUGUUGGGAAAGAAAAGCAGCAGGUUAAUACCCCGCUGUUCUGACGGUACCCAAAGAAUAAGCACCGGCUAACUUCGUG
rnacentral:rRNA from 1 species